UUGAGUUUCUAAGUUUGUUCUUUUAGCUGUUUGCAACCGUAGAAGUAACAAAGUCUCUCACUUUUAGCCUCUCUAUGUUUUCUUGUUUCUUUUCUUCAGUGUGUUUUGUGCGGAGAAGCCAUAACAACUGAAGAUAAGUCUGAAUCUGUGAGCCGAACAGCUGAAGCAACAAAACAGAUAAGCUCUUUUACUUCCUCUUUUUAUUUUGAUUCAACAACAAACAUAAAAUUUAAUUAAAAAAUUUCAAACGUUUUCAUCAAAUCCAAGAGAUGAGCUUUUUCUGCUUUGGUUUUUUUUAUCAAAACAGAGAACCUUUGUUUUGGUUAUUUAUCAAACUCCCCCAAAAAGAUCAUAGGCAGACUCUAAUCUAAUAGUGUGCUGUCAGAUUCUUAAUUUGGGGACAUUGUCCCGUUGCCUGAAGCCUAUACCAAUCGGAAUUUUUUAAAUCUUGGUCCCAACAACUAUUGGUCGGUAGUGCAUGUAUAAGUAAAAGAUGGAAAGUACUGACAGACUUUAGAGUUACCCACGGCUUACAUAAACAACAUCAGAUGGUUUAAGAAAAGUCUUUAGACAGAGACUUUGAGUGAUAUGUACCCACGGCUUACCUUAACAACAACAGACGGCUUAAGAAAAGUCUGUAGACAGAGACUGUGAUGGUACCUAUGGCUUGCAAUAAGAUUUUUAGACAAAACUGUGAAAUCCAACGUUGGAUGGAUCAAAUGUCCCGUAGCUUUCAAAACGACUAUGAGACAUUUGAUGGAUCAAACGACCCACAAGUCCCAAACUUAAAAAAAGAAAAAGAAAAGUCUUUAGACACACAAAGACGACUAUGAACGUUUGGAUGAAUAAAACGACAAACAGUUACACCAUACAGUCUUUUAGGCAAAAGGCUUACGGCUUAUAAAGGUUUUAAACAAAUACCUAGACUUGAAAAUGGGCUAUGACGGUUCUUUAGACAGUAUCUAUACCCACCGCUUAUGGAAAAGUUUUAGACAAGAACUUUAACUUGGUUGCUACACACAACUUAUUAAAAGUCUAUAGACAAAAUAUUGAGCAGAAAACGUGUUAUGAAAAGUCUCUAGACAAUGUCUACCCAUGGCUUAUGAAAGUUUGAGUUGAUUGUUACACAAGGCUUAUGGAUAGUCUUUGGACAACAAUACUACCACAGCCUUAUCAAAAGUCUUUAGACAAAAGACUGAAUCUUGACAAUACUACCACCCACGGCUUUAUAAAAAAUUCCUUCGAGAAAGACUGGAUCUAGACAGUACCACUACUCAUGGCACUACAAAAGGUUUUUGGACAGUCUUAGCACAAUUCGGACAGUACUAUUACCCACGGCUUAUAAAAGGUCUUAAAGAUGGAAACUACGAACCCUUCAGACUUCUAAGUCUAUUGAAUGUGAAAACGAUUAACGGUGGAUGAAAAAAAAACGACCACCGGUUUAAAGAGGUCUUAGGAAAACCUAUUACUUGUUGGAUGGACAAAAAUUACCCGCGGCUUAGGAAAGUUCUACACAAAACUAUGGUUGUUUGGGUUGUUGUAUGGUGAACACGACCAACAACUUAAAACAGAGACUAUGAACCAAAAACCAUAUCUUUACAGACUCUUUGAGUUAUCGUACGGUGAACACGACCACAAGACUUCAAAGAACGACCACAAGGCCUCGAAAAAGGUAUUUUGACAAAGACUACAUGUCAGUGUUUAGCUUUGUUGGAUGGACAACGACCAACAGCUGUGAGUGUAUGAUCCAAAAUCUGAGUUGGUUUUUGCCUUGUUGGAUGGUAUAAACGACCAACAGCUUAAACCAAGUCUUGAGAGAGAGAAAGUAUGUACCAAAAGUUGAGUUGGUUUUAGAUAAAGACUGAAACGUUGGAUGGAUUAACACCCAUGGCUUACUAAAAAGACUAGACAAAAAUACUAUAAAACUUACCAACGGCUAGAGUCUUUAGACAACAAUACUACCAGCGGCUUAUGAGAAGUCCUUUGAGAAAGACUGAAUCUAUACUAUACCAGUACCCACGGCUUCAAAGAAGUUUACACAACAAUCCUAUGAGUUGGUUUUGGAGUUAAUAUGAAUCAAAAACAGACUCAUUAAGACAGAGACUAUGAACCAAGUCUUAUAAAAAUUUAUCAUAUACAUAAACCUAAGACUAUGAACGGAGUAUAAGGACUCUUUUGUGAUAACUGAAAACAGAUAUCAUAAAGUCUUUGCAAAGAUUUGACUAAUUGAAUAGAGAAAAAGACACGAUCAACGUCAUAAAGAAAAAUAUAUGAAUAUAUCAUAUUCCUCAUUUUCCACUCACAACGUGAAGUAAAGACUAAUUAAUUAUGAUUUUCUCAGGUAUGCAUGUGCUUCAGAAGGUGCUCAUUUGAAGUGUUUCAGGUUUCUACUUUGUAAUUAUACUUUCUGAAUUUCUCAGGUUUGUGCUUGCUUGCUUGUUCAUGAUCUCGUUGACGCCAAGGCUUUGUUCAGCUUCCUCACCACUCUGAAGUCUGAAAUUCCAAGAAAUGAAAGCAUAUGAAUGAGACCAGUGGAAAUAAUCUCGAAGCAAUAAAAAUUAAGUAUGUUCCAAACUGGAUGAUGACAUAAGGAAGUAAGCAUCAGAUUCCGGUUAUAAUCAUUGUUCCCUCAUGUGCCAGUUCACCUUCCUUACCAGCCUAUGUUGGACAGAAACACCAUGUCAACGGAAUAGAAAAAAAAAUACUUUCCACAAGUAACUUACUAAAUUACUUAACAAAUAAGACAGGGUUUGCACCAUCAUAUGUUUUUUUUUUCCUAUCCUAGUUUUAUCUGGGUUGAUCAUAAAAGAGGAGCGAAUUCAUCAACCUCAUUUCACGCUACCUCAGGUUUGUCUUUCUUUUUGUGGAUGUCUGCUUCUUUUUCUCGAUCGGAUCUGGAUUUAGAUCUCUGUUGCUUGUUGAUGAAUUGAUGUUACGGUAAACUAAUUAGUUUCUCUGUCACUUGGAUUUCAUAGCGGUGAGGCACAACACAUUUUCCUAUCAUACAUAAACCAGAGAUUCAAUUAGAGGUUUCUGAGACUUCGUAGGAAAUGCCAUGAAACCUUUUAAUAAAACGAAUGUGUUUUGGAGAGUGGCAUAAAAUUGUAAAUAUUUAGGAAAAGUUUGGGCUAAAUACAGUUUGUACUUCCCAUUUAAUAGUUUAGAUGUAUUUUUUUUAGCUUGUGUUAGAAUUUAAGAUAUCAUAUGUCUAUGAAUUAUUACUUA